rnacentral:rRNA from 1 species
GAUGAACGCUGGCGGCGUGCCUAAUACAUGCAAGUCGAGCGAACAGACGAGGAGCUUGCUCCUCUGAUGUUAGCGGCGGACGGGUGAGUAACACGUGGAUAACCUACCUAUAAGACUGGGAUAACUUCGGGAAACCGGAGCUAAUACCGGAUAACAUGUUGAACCGCAUGGUUCAACAGUGAAAGACGGUCUUGCUGUCACUUAUAGAUGGAUCCGCGCCGCAUUAGCUAGUUGGUAAGGUAACGGCUUACCAAGGCAACGAUGCGUAGCCGACCUGAGAGGGUGAUCGGCCACACUGGAACUGAGUCACGGUCCAGACUCCUACGGGAGGCAGCAGUAGGGAAUCUUCCGCAAUGGGCGAAAGCCUGACGGAGCAACGCCGCGUGAGUGAAGAAGGUCUUCGGAUCGUAAAACUCUGUUAUUAGGGAAGAACAAAUGUGUAAGUAACUAUGCACGUCUUGACGGUACCUAAUCAGAAAGCCACGGCUAACUACGUG